rnacentral:sRNA from 1 species
AGUGUGUGGACCUCUUGGUGGGGCCGGGGGCUGCCCAGGCAGCCAUUAAGGAAGACCCCUGGAACUGCUACAUGUGUGGGCACAAGGGUACCUACGGGCUGCUGCGGCGGCGAGAGGACUGGCCCUCCCGGCUCCAGAUGUUCUUCGCUAAUAACCACGACCAGGAAUUUGACCCUCCAAAGGUUUACCCACCUGUCCCAGCUGAGAAGAGGAAGCCCAUCCGGGUGCUGUCUCUCUUUGAUGGAAUUGCUACAGGGCUCCUGGUGCUGAAGGACUUGGGCAUUCAGGUGGACCGCUACAUUGCCUCGGAGGUGUGUGAGGACUCCAUCACGGUGGGCAUGGUGCGGCACCAGGGGAAGAUCAUGUACGUCGGGGACGUCCGCAGCGUCACACAGAAGCAUAUCCAGGAGUGGGGCCCAUUCGAUCUGGUGAUUGGGGGCAGUCCCUGCAAUGACCUCUCCAUCGUCAACCCUGCUCGCAAGGGCCUCUACGAGGGCACUGGCCGGCUCUUCUUUGAGUUCUACCGCCUCCUGCAUGAUGCGCGGCCCAAGGAGGGAGAUGAUCGCCCCUUCUUCUGGCUCUUUGAGAAUGUGGUGGCCAUGGGCGUUAGUGACAAGAGGGACAUCUCGCGAUUUCUCGAGUCCAACCCUGUGAUGAUUGAUGCCAAAGAAGUGUCAGCUGCACACAGGGCCCGCUACUUCUGGGGUAACCUUCCCGGUAUGAACAGUUCAGCAAAGUGAGGACCAUUACUACGAGGUCAAACUCCAUAAAGCAGGGCAAAGACCAGCAUUUUCCUGUCUUCAUGAAUGAGAAAGAGGACAUCUUAUGGUGCACUGAAAUGGAAAGG